CGGAUCGUAAAACUCUGUUGUUAGAGAAGAACGUCAGUGAGAGUGGAAAGUUCACUGAGUGACGGUAUCUAACCAGAAAGGGACGGCUAACUACGUGCCAGCAGCCGCGGUAA
rnacentral:rRNA from 1 species